rnacentral:lncRNA from 1 species
CUGACUUUCCUUCAUGUUCCUUCUCCUUUCCAGAAGCUAGCUGCCCUUUCCAAGAAGUUUUUUCUAGGUAGAAGGAAGAGUACAUGUGAAGACCCUGAGGUAAGAGUGUGCUUGACUUUCUCAAAGAGCAAGGCAGCCCUUAGACUAGAGCAGAGAGUGAAAAAGGAGCAGUGGCCUGAGAUGUGUUCAGAGCGGUGGCCAGGGGACAGAUCAUGUGAAGUCUUACAGUCCCUGGCAAGGAGUUCAGAUCCCACCCUGAAUGAGAAGACAGGUCUUUGGAGAGUUUGGAUACGGUGAGUAGAUGAUACCUCGUAGACUUAAAAAGGACCUCUCUGGUAGUGCAAUGGAAAAUAGACUGAAGAGGCAAACGCAGCAGCAGGUCAGCCAGUUAGGAAGCUGCUGAGGUGAUCCCAGAGAGAGGUGUGGUGUCUGGACUGGAGUUCUAACAGAGAAGUGGUUAGAAAUGCUCUAGGGAGAGGUGAGGUGACACAUUCAUGGAUUGGGUACAAAGGCAGGAAUAAAGCAGUCAAGUGUGUGUGCAAGGCUUUUGGUCCCAGGAACCAGAUGCUGGAGUUAUCAAUUUACCAAGUAGGGAUGGACUGAAGGAGGAGCACGUUUGGGAGGGGAAAUCAAGAGUCUAAUUUGAAUAUGUUAAGUUCAAGGUGCCUUUUCUGAUUAAUCAUGCAUCAAAUGGAAAUGUGG